CCCUUAGAUGUUCUGGGCCGCACGCGCGCUACACUGAUGAACGCAACGAGACCACCUGUACCGAAAGGCAUGGGUAAACUUGUGAAAGUUCAUCGUGAUGGGGAUAGAUUAUUGCAAUUAUUAAUCUUCAACGAGGAAUUCCUAGUAAGCGCGAGUCAUCAGCUCGCGUUGAUUACGUCCCUGCCCUUUGUACACACCGCCCGUCGCUCCUACCGAUUGAGUGGUCCGGUGAGGCUUUGGGAUCUGAGCGGAAAGAGCGUUUCGCUGUUUCUGCUCGGAAAACUCAGUCGAACCUUAUCAUUUAGAGGAAGGAGAAGUCGUAACA
rnacentral:rRNA from 1 species